GGGGAUGUGGCUUAUUGGUAGAGCAUCAGCUUGGUAUGCAGAAGGUCCCAGGUUCAAUCCCCGGCAUUUCCA